rnacentral:lncRNA from 1 species
AUAUGUAGCACUUAACCCUUGCAUAUGUCAACCGUUCCCACAGAUCCUCCACAACGUGAACCGGUCCGCGCUACCCGGGAGCACAGUACUCCUCCAUCCAGCCUCUAGCCAGGAGGGCACACGCUACUCCCACCAUCUCCCACGCCCAGUGCGCGGUUGUCUUUUCACAUAUGGAAUAGCCGGGUUCAAGCUUACCCUGUCCCAUUUCCAGGGCAUGUGGCUAGUUAAGAUAGUCCUUGAUCUAUCAGGCCUACAUACGCAUCCAAUCCUUAAUUGACCCGGACGGAACAUCAUCUGUUCCUAGCCCAAGUCUCGAGUUAAGUACUUCCACCCUUAGGAUUGUUUUGUGUUUCUAAGGAUGAAAAGAGCAUUAUAGGGAACUUUACAGUAAGAUCCCACCAUGCUCCCAAUGAAAAUAUCCGUGCAGGUAGAGAUCAUCCUUCCUCAGGAUCAACCUGAGCUAGGCAUAAGUGCAAAGGACAAACUCUAUCUGCCUAUAAGCAGGGCUAAGCAUUUUUUUUGUAAAUCAUAUUUUGAUACUUCACCAGAAGUAUCUAUAAAAGGGAUGGAUUUCAAGGUAGGCAAUGCAUCGAAGGGUUUCCAAGCAACUUCUAUAAACCUAAUGCACAUUUCACUAGACUUAAAGUGUGCAAAAAUAAUUUAAAAACACAAGGAAGGGGUUGCAUGCACCGGGGCUUGUCUGGAAGAAACACUAGGUUAGUGUUGUUAGACGAUGUCCACUUGACGAUCAUCCUUGUUCUGAUACUUGUUUCGUCUAUCCAUCUUCCGGAUUGUCCAUCAACAUCAUCCUGCGGAUUAGCCCGCGCUUGGGAUCGACUUGGUUCGUCUUCCGCAUCGCGUGAUUAAUUAACGUACCUGAAUGAAAUGGAUUAUGCACAUGAAUGCAUAUCGACAAGAAUAUCACACACCUAAAUAGUGCUACGCGAUAGCGGAACACCUAGCGGCGAGGCGUUGUACAAGUUCAUACGGAAAUACUAGUUAUCGAUAUUCGACUACGCGUAAUAAUUACGCUUCUUUAAAUUAAACGAACCUAACGCAAACAUCAUGAAACAACAAAUAAUACAUAUUUAAUAUAAUUAGCCUAAUUUUGGCUACACGAUAGUGAAUCGAAUAUCUAGUGACGAGGCACAAAUAACAUUUAAAAGCAAUUACCAGAUACCGGGAUAUUACUAAGUACAACGUUCGCGCUAUUUUAACUUAACCGAAUCUGACUUGAACAAGAAGCGCUAAUACAAAACACAAAUCCUAUAUAUAUUCCUAAGCUAGAGAAUUAACAAACCGGCUCACUAAUGUUAAAUUGACUCAGAUGUCGUGGAAACGACAACGAGUCCCAGUUCAGGUGAUUCAUCGAACACCUAGCGUGCAAGUGAACUAGAUGGGCCAAACGUGCUUAGCGCAAACGGUGAUGCCUCGUAGGGAAUGAACCUACACGCAAACACACAAAGGAAACAAACUAGCGCUAAGUAACGCAGAUCGCUACCGCGCAUCUGUGCUAUAAAUAAGAGAAUCAUCGUGAUAAUAUAUUUAAUCGAACCAUUCAUCAAUUCUAAUAGCAAUAAAAACGGCACAGCUCAUUGGGACCAUAUUUGACUCAACACCUGAUAACAACAACGAUUUCUAAUUCAGACAUUUUCUCGAACACCUAACAAGUCUACAUACCAGACGAGAUUAAAUAUCGAAAUACAAUAUCCUAUCCCGUAGAGAAAUAACCUAACAUCAAACAUAUACAAUGAAAUACAGAUAAUUACUACAGCACAUCACAAGUAUCUGAUUCUAACGUCGCGGGUAAUAUUCAUCCAAUAUAUUCAUCGAAUUAAUUGAUUAGUAGGAGUAGCGAGCUAGAGUACUAUUACCAAUUCGAUGAGAAAUUCGUGGAAGUAGCAACAACACUUGGCUCAGGCCCUUCAUCGAACACUUGUCGAGCAGAGGUUGACGAGAUCGCGGAUGAGAAACGACGACGAAUUCCGGGUUCCAGCCAUUCGUCGAGCACCGGGGGCGGUCGAUGGCGAACACGCCGAAACAGAGAAGUUUAUCCGAGCAGCUGCAAACAACCGUGCCGGGGACAUGUCGAACACGAAUGACACGGAUGUGCCAAGCGUAGCAAACGACACAGAAGCACGCGACAUCGAGUGGACAGAACAGGGCGAGAUUGAUGACACACACCCAUGGUGAGGCGGGGUCGGCGAAUACCGGCGCCGGACAGCGCCCAGCGCACGACGAAUCGAGCGCGGCGAGCAGCAAAGAAAAUCUGCGCGCAAUGACGAUCUUGGCUAGGGGAAAAGCUCCGCUGCGCAGGGAUCCGAGCUCGACACAGGGAGUUUCACGGCUCGCAGGCUCGCAGCGACUAUGACCGAGCGCAGGGGAAAGAAGACCCAGGCGCUCGGAACCAGACAGCGACGCGAGCGCAGAGUGACACGGUCAAGUAGGGACCAGGACGCCGCGGCAUGGACGCGAGCUGAGGGACCUGGACGCAGAGGAAGUUCCGCGCCGCAUAGGAGCAGGCGCGCGCACGGAGCAAAGAAGCUGGGCGCGGCCAGGCGAUGGAGGGACUCAGCGGGCAGAGGAAGGACGCCGAGCAGAGAGAAAGAGGAGCAGAGCUGGCUGGAGUCGGGCGCAGCGCUGGAGCAGGGAGAUCGACCGGGCGCGCAUAGCUUCGGGCAAACCCAGGGCGCGACUGGAUAUUACUGCCGGCGAGCAGAAAGAUUAGAGGGAGGAGAACGUCGCAGAGGAAGCGAAGUGCCAUGGCAGGGGCUUCAAUCCGGCGCGGCCAUGGCAGAGGGCAAGCACCGGCAGCUGGAGAAGCCGAGGGCCAUGGAAGCAGGGAGCUCGACCGGCGAGCUGAGCUUAUGCGCAUGGUGCAUUUAUGUACACAGAGGCGAACACUAAAACUUAUCAAGAACUUGAUCUGCAUGGCUGAUGACGUGUUGUGAUAGAAUGCAGAGAGAAUUCCCGAGCUGGCACGUGUACUGGAAUCUAGGAUAUUACGAUGGCUUGAGAUAAGAACAAGGGAGCAAGAGACGUGAGAAGGAGAUUUACGUGACCUGCUGUGUGGUGGCUGAAGAUAAUGUCGAUAGAAGACAAGGCUUGAAGCGUGACAUGGGUUGAAGUAAUAAAGGGAUUUCCCCCAUUUUCGUUAAUGGAGACUUAAAAGUAAGUGGAUAAUAGGACUAAGGUUUAAAAGAGAUACAAAUAAAUUGGCCCAAAACAAUAUCAGGCAUAAAAGAAAAAUUAGAUAGGAUUUGAUUUGGUGAGUACUCCUAAAAUCAGAUAAUUUUCGUGACUGUUUCGGACAACACGGAAACGAACUAGAUAUCAGAUACAUUAUUCUGAGACCAUACUAGUUUAGUCGAAAUCGGAUAAAAAUUUACCCGAUGCCUAAACAUAGUUGAUUUGAUUCGAAACUUAAUAAUUCAUCCGUAGUCUGAAUUAUUACGACACGAGCCACGAAAAUCUAAUUUGAGACCGAGGCGAGAAAUAACAUACCGAAUCAAAUGGAUUUCAGCUUCGGUAUUUUAAUCUGCGUGAUUCGACUAAUAUUAGCCAGAACCAUAUCGGCUAAUGCACACAUGAUUUCGUCGCUAAAACAGUGUGCGGAUGGAUAAGUUGGAUCCAAACCCCACGCACAAUUUCGCGCGAGCUGAAUUAUUUUACCCCGAACAAUUUAGUCGUCAAGUUCAACUGAAUUUGUCCGAGAUAAAAUCAUCCGAGUGAGUCGGGCUUCCGAAUUCGUAUUCGCGCGAACGAUGAAUUUUAAAUAAUCACCGGACGCACCGAUUUUCGGAACAAAUAUGUUCCGAACAUCACGAAAAUUUUAGGAAGAGCCCGGAUAGAUAGAAAUAAAAACGAUGUCGCGCUCGCGACAGACGACACCGAUGCGAUAUAAAAAUCGCGAUAGACGAAGAUGUUUAGAAUUUAAAAAUCCAUUUAUCCACUGAUUACGUGCUUAAAUCCGUACUCGUUGUCGAGCGGAAUAUAAACACCUGGGGUGUUACAAUCCUCCCCCCUUAAAAGAAUCUCGUCCCGAGAUUCGGAUCGAAAGACUUCUAAGGGUAGAGAAGUAUGUAACCCAUGUUCGUAUCAGCGAUAAUCAUAAGACAGUCUUGGGCGAAGGCGAGUGCCUCAGAAUGCGGUUUCUCUAGCGGACAUAACAUGUAUCGCCUUAGGCAAAUUUAGAAAUGUCCACCAAUAGAGACGAUAUCUGCCAGAGGAACACAUAAGGUUCCAUGUGUGCAGUUUGCUUUUUCUGAUGACACUGUACUAUCUGAGUCUGUUGAGUGAGCAGCAAAUAGGCGAUUUUACCCCAACAGAAUCAGAUGCACCAUCUUGGGUAAAACAUACAAAAUGAAGUUUACCAACAAGCGUCACAGUGAGUUCGUAGCGCAUGAGACGGAUGUGGACGUCGAAUACUGUCGUGGUUAACAUGUGGUUAACCCGAGAAUUCAAGUCUAUGAAAGAUGGUAUAGAUUCGAGAAAAAUCAUCCGCGAAUGGAUCUGUAGAUGCUGCCUUCGCAACCAAUCCAUUUUAUCGAGCACUAGGCAUGGAUCGACUUGAUCACACAUGCUGGAAAAGCACACGUGAGGCGUUCGAGGCAUGACUAGGGCGAUGAUUAGGUGGUUACUGGCCGACUUAAUCUCAUUCUUAUAAGUGCUUUCUUCAGGGUGGGUUAAACCAGAGUGAGUUUAGACAACUCGACAAUCGAUCUCUAAACUCAACCUUUGUUCAUUGGGCAGUUACAAGUUAGUAAAAACCAACUUGUUAAACUUACAUUGAGCAGGUCCUCUCAGUACCAUCGGUAAGCCAAGGGUUGAGAGUUCACCCUGUUAACAAGAGAUUAUGUAUUUGGGUAAAAAUCCAUUUGGUCAGAUUGUUCAUCCAUUCCCUCAUGCAAGAUGAACUGACUUGGUGAGGGAAUACAUGGAUUAAAUAAGAGAGCGAAUGAACAAACUCCUGCAUCUCAGCAGCAGGAAAAGUCAAUCUCCAAUUUGAGAGCUAAUUAGCUGUUUUCCAACACUAAAAAGCUCCAAGACUUCACCUUUACAAGAAAGGAUGUAAAGGGAACUUGUAUGAGUAGUCACUACCAAGAUCAAAAGAAAUAAGACCACACAUGAAAGUGGUAUGCCCUUUUGAUCCCAUAGAGAUGAUAGAUGUUGCUUGGUCACUUGACAAACAACAUAGAAAUCGUUUCAAGGAAGAUAUCCACGGAAGAUAACACACCAGUGUAAUCCUAUAACGGAUCAUGACUAGAGACUUCGAUAUCGGCAUGCGCCAAGCAGCAGAACCUUGCGUGUACAUUCACAAGGGGCUCUCAGUUUCGCCGCGGUACCAUAAGUCCUUAACCAUGACACCAUUACAAAACUGGCACCAAUAAUGAAUCUCACGUGGUAAGAAUAAUUUGUGCAGAGAUAACAUAUCGAUAUAGUCUCAUAAUGGAUUAUGACUACUAACUGUGAUACUAGCGUGUACCGAGCAGCACAACCUUGUGUGUAUACCCACAGGAGGCCCUCGGUUUUGGCGUGGCAUCAUCAAUUUUAGUCAUAACGCCAAUACUAGACAUAACCAAUAAGAAAUCUCACACAACACAAAUAGACUGGUCAAGGAUGACAAUAUACAAAAGAGACUCCACCUGUAGGAAUGGUUACAAGUAGAGAGCCAAAUAGAUCAUGGCCCGAUGAAAUGAACACGAUAUGGCCAAAACCUAACUUGAUGAAAGGAGUAUGAUGGGAGACUGUUGCUUUAGUCCAAAAAUAUUUCUACGCCCAUUAUAGAGAUCAUGAGGACAAGGAUUAGUAUCUAUUAGAUACGGACGGAAAACAAUCAUAAGAUUAAGUGGGUAUGCCUUGGAUAGAUAUGGGGAAACCAAAGGCAUCAAUUUCAAGAAAAUACUCAGACAGGUCUGUUCUGGGUUAGGUUGAUGAAGUGACAAGAUAAUCCGCAAGGAGAGGCCAAAUACAAUAGAGACCUCAACCUGCAUCAACUGAACAAGGGAAUGGUUCUAGAAGGAGACAUGACUUGAGAUUCUUGUUUUAAGCUUGGGUACAUUUUAUGUUCAACACAGAAAUUAUCUAAGCAUUUAUUUGUAUGGGCUUUGUCAUGGAGUGAUAAUGGACAAUUCAAAUUUGGGUCUAAGUUCACCAAGGAAGAACAUGGCCUAAUUUUGGGUUUGGGCAAAACAAGUCACUAACCUUCUAUCGACACAUCAAGCACAAGGGCAAACGCAUUUGCACUAAUGGUCAAAUUAUGAAAAGCUAAAAGCAAUCUAAACCUGUAUCCCUAGGACACCACAUCAUUUACAAUCACCAAGUUUUGGAAUAAAGGUGAGAGAAGCAUUUUGGGUGUAUAGGUAACAAACAUAAUGCAACAAUCAAGAUGCAUGCUCGUCUUAUUCGUCCUCACUGAUUUUGCCAACAUACUGCGGCAAUAGCGUUCUAUAUCGGUGGCAUACUUACGACUCUCUCGGUAUUUUACUAGUCGUCAACUACACAUACGUUUUCAGGGUUAGUGUACCUGCAGAAAAUUCCAUCACAGCCCAAUUCCCAAUGAUGCAGUUCACACAUGAUAGUUUAUCACAAUUUAUACUCCAUAUAUUGCUAUAUGGAGGCCAGCUCAUCAUUAAGCGCCGAGCCACGCAUAGGCGCCGUUGCCACACUUUAACCAUAGGGCAACUCAUUAUGGUCACUCACCUUCUUACCUGAGCGUAGGUGCGUCGUUGCAAGUACAUUACAUUUCUCAGUAUUCCCAUGUCUGUAUACCCAUACACACGCAUGGGGUACUGAAUUCCCGGAAAAGUAAAUACUCCACAUCACAGCCUUCAUAUAUAUAUGUGGAAUAUGUAUAUAAUCAAGCGCUUUUUACACUCUUCCCUAGACCGACGGUUGUUCGGUCAUGCUCUCACAUCUCACCUUACCUUGAGCGUCGAUCCAUUCAAAACUGAAUGGCCUCAAAAAUAACAAUACACAUGUAUGCAAUACCCACCCGGUUGUGGGUUAUGGUUUUCAACUAAGCCACCUGAUAGUCCUUACUUUAUGGCUUAAUAGAGAAUGUCGCUAGCAUUAUAGUUUUUCAAAACUGUUUUUCAAAGCCAAACAAUGUGUUUAGUUGAAAAUAGGUUUUCUAAAACCAAAACUUUUGUUUUGAAAAUACGUAUGUGACUGUAUAUACUUAAUCCAGCUCCGAUACCAGCUGUGGCAGAACCUCCAAGUUAUCGGGCCCACAUGCACCUGUCCUUGUCUCAAAGACCUCAGACGGCCAUGCAUGUGCACCAGAUAACUUAACAGGAUCCGUCCGAUUGCCCCAAGGACACCGGAUAAACCACUUACAACCAGAACCGCGGGAUUAAGUAACACAAAUCACACACACCAAUAUUUUUGCAGCGGAAAUCUUAUUACCAAAUUUUACAAGUUACAAAAAAUUUAUAUUAUUUUAUCGGAGUGAUUACAAAAGUAUAAGUUUGAAAUAUAUGCUAGCUCAAAUGACCAUCCUCAGUAAGAAGAUAAAGACGGGUUAUACUUAUAUAAGAAGGCCGAGCCCACCGGCACUUAACACCAUCAAAAGCAGCACAAAGAUAGAACCUGAAAAACAACAGAGAAUAAAACCCUGAGUAUGGAAUUACUCAGCAAGACUUACCCGACUAAAGAAAAGACUCUCAAGGGUAUGCUGGAUUUGGGAAUCAAGGAGAGGCUUUAGCAAGAAUCAACUUAGAUACUUUUGCAGAAAUAGCUUACUAAAGUGAGUCCUUACUUCCAAUAUUUUAACGCCAAAUUAAAUAUUAAUAGACUUUGUUUGCAUAUGGUCUACUUUCACCAUAUCAUCAAUACAACAUCAUUUUUAUUCAUGAGAUUCACAUCCUGACUUAGGUUGCAGGUCAGUGAUCAAGUCUCCACUCUCCGGGGAUAUAACGGCGAUCCGAAUCGAUUUACUCAGCUGAGGAUCUCUAACCACACGACAUAUGUAGCACUUAACCCUUGCAUAUGUCAACCGUUCCCACAGAUCCUCCACAACGUGAACCGGUCCGCGCUACCCGGGAGCACAGUACUCCUCCAUCCAGCCUCUAGCCAGGAGGGCACACGCUACUCCCACCAUCUCCCACGCCCAGUGCGCGGUUGUCUUUUCACGUAUGGAAUAGCCGGGUUCAAGCUUACCCUGUCCCAUUUCCAGGGCAUGUGGCUAGUUAAGAUAGUCCUUGAUCUAUCAGGCCUACAUACGCAUCCAAUCCUUAAUUGACCCGGACGGAACAUCAUCUGUUCCUAGCCCAAGUCUCGAGUUAAGUACUUCCACCCUUAGGAUUGUUUUGUGUUCCUAAGGAUGAAAAGAGCAUUAUAGGGAACUUUACAGUAAGAUCCCACCAUGCUCCCAAUAAAAAUAUCCGUGCAGGUAGAGAUCAUCCUUCCUCAGGAUCAACCUGAGCUAGGCAUAAGUGCAAAGGACAAACUCUAUCUGCCUAUAAGCAGGGCUAAGCAUUUUUUUUAAAUCAUAUUUUGAUACUUCACCAGAAGUAUCUAUAAAAGGAAUGGAUUUCAAGGUAGGCAAUGCAUCGAAGGGUUUCCAAGCAACUUCUAUAAACCUAAUGCACAUUUCACUAGACUUAAAGUGUGCAAAAAUAAUUUAAAAACACAAGGAAGGGGUUGCAUGCACCGGGGCUUGCCUGGAAGAAACACUAGGUUAGUGUUGUUAGACGAUGUCCACUUGACGAUCAUCCUUGUUCUGAUACUUGUUUCGUCUAUCCAUCUUCCGGAUUGUCCAUCAACAUCAUCCUGCGGAUUAGCCCGCGCUUGGGGUCGACUUGGUUCGUCUUCCGCAUCGCGUGAUUAAUUAACGUACCUGAAUGAAAUGCAUUAUGCACAUGAAUGCAUAUCGACAAGAAUAUCACACACCUAAAUAGUGCUACGCGAUAGCGGAACACCUAGCGGCGAGGCGUUGUACAAGUUCAUACGGAAAUACUAGUUAUCGAUAUUCGACUACGCGUAAUAAUUACGCUUCUUUAAAUUAAACGAACCUAACGCAAACAUCAUGAAACAACAAAUAAUACAUAUUUAAUAUAAUUAGCCUAAUUUUGGCUACACGAUAGUGAAUCGAAUAUCUAGUGACGAGGCACAAAUAACAUUUAAAAGCAAUUACCAGAUACCGGGAUAUUACUAAGUACAACGUUCGCGCUAUUUUAACUUAACCGAAUCUGACUUGAACAAGAAGCGCUAAUACAAAACACAAAUCCUAUAUAUAUUCCUAAGCUAGAGAAUUAACAAACCGGCUCACUAAUGCUAAAUUGACUCAGAUGUCGUGGAAACGACAACGAGUCUCAGUUCAGGUGAUUCAUCGAACACCUGGCGUGCAAGUGAACUAGAUGGGCCAAACGUGCUUAGCGCAAACGGUGAUGCCUCGUAGGGAAUGAACCUACACGCAAACACACAAAGGAAACAAACUAGCGCUAAGUAACACAGAUCGCUACCGCGCAUCUGUGCUAUAAAUAAGAGAAUCAUCGUGAUAAUAUAUUUAAUCGAACCAUUCAUCAAUUCUAAUAGCAAUAAAAACGGCACAGCUCAUUGGGACCAUAUUUGACUCAACAC